AGGGAUGUAAGACCCCUGGCCCUAAGUCAAAGGCCGUGGACUUGAUCUCUCGAGUCGCCCACUUGGCCGUCUUCCAAGUAUACUUUCCUUCCUUGUGUUCCUGCUCUAAAUGUUUCAACAAACUUUCAGACCUGCUCUAAAAUGUGCCUAAAUCUCUCAGUCUGCUUUGUGCCCCUCAGCUGAAUUCUUUCUUCUGAGGAGGAAAGAAUUGAGGUUGCUGCAGACCCAUGCAGGCUCGCUGCCACUAACACCAUGACCCAGGCCACAGCCCUCCGGAGACCCUGAGAACAUAUGUCCAAGGUGGUUGGGCUACAGCUUGGCUUUGUACAUUUUAGGGAGACAUAAGACAUCAGCCAAUACAU
rnacentral:lncRNA from 1 species